rnacentral:rRNA from 1 species
CCUACGGGAGACAGCAGUGAGGAAUAUUGGUCAAUGGACGAGAGUCUGAACCAGCCAAGUAGCGUGAAGGAUGACUGCCCUAUGGGUUGUAAACUUCUUUUAUAUGGGAAUAAAAUGUUCCACGUGUGGGAUUUUGUAUGUACCAUAUGAAUAAGGAUCGGCUAACUCCGUGCCAGCAGCCGCGGUAAUACGGAGGAUCCGAGCGUAAUCCGGAUUUAGUGGGUUUAAAGGGAGCGUAGGUGGAUGUUUAAGUCAGUUGUGAAAGUUUGCCGCUCAACCGUAAAAUUGCACUUUAUACUGGCAGUCUUGAGUACAGUUGAGGUAGGCGGAAUUCGUGGUGUAGCGGUGAAAUGCUUAGAUAUCACGCAGAACCCCGAUUGCGAAGGCAGCUUACUAAACUGUGACUGACAUUGAUGCUCGAAAGUGUGGGUAUCAAACAGGAUUAGAUACCCCAGUAGUC